GGUAGGGUGGUCUAAGUAAGGCAGUGGACUGUAAAUCCUCUUAUAAAGGUUUAAAUCCUUUUCCUAUCA
rnacentral:tRNA from 1 species